UGUCGCCCCUGCAUGUUUUUCGUGAUCCAUGUUUCUAUUUUACUUUUAGUUUUCAGAGUUGAUGGUCUAUUGUUUGUACUUCUGUGUCCCGGGUUUGUCUUUUGUUCAUUUAUUGUCCUACUUUAUGACUACAGUCUGAGUGUUGAUUUUCAUUUGUAAACGUGUGGUUUUGCAAUGUUGCAUGUCCACCGAUGUCCAGAC
rnacentral:lncRNA from 1 species